UACGUAGGGUGCAAGCGUUGUCCGGAAUUAUUGGGCGUAAAGAGCUCGUAGGCGGUCUGUUGCGUCGGCUGUGAAAACCCGGGGCUCAACCCCGGGCCUGCAGCCGAUACGGGCAGACUAGAGUUCGGCAGGGGAGACUGGAAUUCCUGGUGUAGCGGUGAAAUGCGCAGAUAUCAGGAGGAACACCAAUAGCGAAGGCAGCUCGCUGGGACGGUACUGACGCUGAGGCGCGAAAGCGUGGGGAGCGAACAGG
rnacentral:rRNA from 1 species